GGUCAGAUGAAGAGUAUUAAACUGCAACAAUAUGAUGGGAUUAUGCCUGUGAUUACCUCGUUUUAAGUCUCUGAUGACC
rnacentral:snoRNA from 2 species